rnacentral:lncRNA from 1 species
ACAUGCAAUAGUACCUAGAAUUACUACUGGAAAAAUAUAUAAAAGAUCAUUGGGCCAUGCGGGCUCUCCAUAAUAAUUAUGACCCAUACCCUUAGCCAAUUUAGCUCUUAAUACAGGAUCAUUCAAGUCAGGUUUUUUUGUUAUUGGGAUAGGUGAAUUCUUAUAGAUCCAUCCCCCGAGGGAACUGGACAUGAUAAUUUUUAAUCAUCCAGCUCGAGCAAGAAUAAAAAGAACCAAACAAAUCCAUAUUUCCAUAGAAAAUAUCUAUAUGGUACCUGUAUUUACACAUACACAUAUAUGAUAUAGGAAUGGUUCAAUAUAAGAAAAAUUUGACUGAAUUCUUUUUUAUGGAGUUGCAACUCUCCAUUACAAAACAAAGAAUUCUGUUCUUACAGGUAAAUACUCAAAACCCAAGUAGGUUUACAAAUAAUAUCAUGAUAUGAUCAAGUGACUUUUGGGUCGUCUCAAACCUUCUAAUUGGUAUUUAUCUCCAAAAUGCUUGGAGAUACACAUAUAAGGUUUGCUUGUUACUAAUAUAGUCUAGACUCUCUUUUUCUUUAGAUCCCUUGUUUCACUCAGAUAGUAGUAUUGAUCGUGUCAAUGCAGAGGAAAUGAAUACAUUCACAUACUAUUAAAUCUUAUAAGUGAACUAGAUAAAAGGGAAUCUUGAUUCCCUUUUAUCUAGUUCACUUAUACUAGAUGUUAUGGAACCUGCUCAUGUGCAACAUGAUUCGGAUUAUAGAAAAGAUUCUCUUUAAGCGAACCAGCCUAUCCUCUGUAUAGGGUUACACGGCGAUUGGAACAAAGAGACACAUUUGAUUGUGAAUUCCCAUGUGGAAGGCGUAUAUCUACACAGACCAAUCGAUAGUUCAACUCACACACUCCCAUAAUCCAUUUUCUCUUCACAAAGUUCCCUUCAAUCCCCCCGUUUAGUUGGCAUGAAUGGUUAAAGGGAAAUGUCCAAAUCCAUGUCUUAUUAUUUUCAAUAAUCCAUACUUGUAGCAAUGAAAUACUAUAUAUUCCUACACUAAGUGAUAAACGAUUGAUUACAAAUAGUUAGGAUAUAUUUU